rnacentral:tRNA from 1 species
AGGAUUUUAUCUUAAUUUAAAGAGCUUGAGUUGCAUUCAUGAGAUGUGGGUUAGUAUCCUACAAGUCCUA